rnacentral:rRNA from 1 species
CCAGACUCCUACGGGAGGCAGCAGUGGGGAAUAUUGCACAAUGGGGGAAACCCUGAUGCAGCGACGCCGCGUGAGUGAAGAAGUAAUUCGUUACGUAAAGCUCUAUCAGCAGGGAAGAAAAUGACGGUACCUGAGUAAGAAGCCCCGGCUAACUACGUGCCAGCAGCCGCGGUAAUACGUAGGGGGCAAGCGUUAUCCGGAUUUACUGGGUGUAAAGGGAGCGUAGACGGUUACGCAAGUCUGGAGUGAAAGGCGGGGGCCCAACCCCCGGACUGCUUUGGAAACUGUAUAACUGGAGUGCAGGAGAGGUAAGUGGAAUUCCUAGUGUAGCGGUGAAAUGCGUAGAUAUUAGGAAGAACACCAGUGGCGAAGGCGGCUUGCUGGACAGUAACUGACGUUGAGGCUCGAAAGCGUGGGGAGCAAACAGGAUUAGAUACCCCCGUAU